UACGGAGGAUGCAAGCGUUAUCCGGAAUGAUUGGGCGUAAAGCGUCCGCAGGUGGCUAUGUAAGUCUGCUGUUAAAGAGUCUAGCUCAACUAGAUAAAGGCGGUAGAAACUACAAGGCUAGAGUACGUUCGGGGCAGAGGGAAUUCCUAGUGUAGCGGUGAAAUGCGUAGAGAUUAGGAAGAACACCAGUGGCGAAGGCGCUCUGCUAGGCCGUAACUGACACUGAGGGACGAAAGCUAGGGGAGCGAAUGGG
rnacentral:rRNA from 1 species